GAUGAAGAACGCAGCGAAAUGCGAUAAGUAAUGUGAAUUGCAGAAUUCAGUGAAUCAUCGAAUCUUUGAACGCACAUUGCGCCCGCCAGUAUUCUGGCGGGCAUGCCUGUUCGAGCGUCAUUUCAACCAUCAAGCCCUGCUUGCGUUGGGGUCCUGCGGCUGCCCGCAGGCCCUGAAAACCAGUGGCGGGCUCGCUAGUCACACCGAGCGCAGUAAUACAUCUCGCUUUGGGCGUGCGGCGGGUUCUUGCCGCUAAACACCCCCUUUUUACCAAGGUUGACCUCGGAUCAGGUAGGAAUACCCGCUGAACUUAAGCAUAUCAAUAAGCGGAGGA
rnacentral:misc_RNA from 1 species